AACAAGGAAAAAAAAAACAUUUAAGAGAAGGUUCCAUGGAAUUUAAUUGUCCUAGACAUCGAAAAGUCAUUGCAUUUGAAUGUCUAUAUGGCCUCAAAACUUGUCUGCUUCUUCACAUGUUUUUGUCAUCAUAUAUUAUUAGCAGAGUAUAAGUUCACUGCAUUUCCAUUUGGUGAAUCAAAAACACUACAUAUGGUUGACUUGUUUUCAGUGGCUAUUGUCAAGAAACAGAUGUGAGGAGGUUGCUAAUGAGAACUAAAUCAAAACCUGUUUCUCCAGCUCCCUAGCCCUGGCUUCUGCUGCCUGACGUUUUUCUUCCGCAUAGUGAAGCUGUAAUCCAGAUAAAUUGUUAUAAAUGAAAAAAAAAAAAAAGAUAAUAGCUUAACACUUUAAAAUAAAAUAAAAAAAAUCCAGUGAAAAAAGACAUGGAACCUUGUCCAAUACAUUCUCAUUCUCCUCUUGUAGCAUCUCCACCUGAAAUUAACAUAGAGUCAGCCUCAAGUCAAAGUCUCCUGACUAUUUUAUAAAAAAAAACAGCAAAACUUCAAUCCAAAGUUUAAAAUGGGAAUGAACACAUACUUCAUCACGAAGAGCUGAAGCUUCCCGCCGAUACCCCUUAUCUCUCGAAUUAACCAACGGUACAUCACCAUAAUAUCUGAAAAAAAAAAACUUAAAAUAUAAGGAAUCAAGCAAAGCAGCACAACAUCAUAGUAGCGUAAGGACUAAUCAUUUAAGUCAGACAUAAAAAAAAUAACAAAAA